rnacentral:lncRNA from 1 species
CAUACGCUAAAGAUAGCCUUUGGUCUAGCUGCAUUUUGCAUAACCAAAUUCUUCCAUGGAACUCUGGCUGAAUCUCCAAGCAGCUGCAAGUACACCAUCCUUAUAGUGCAGGCAGUUUCAUUGAGCAAAUUAUGAAGUUGCAAUAGCUUUACUCCUUCCACAAUCUUCCUUACCAUCCAGCUAGCAUUAUUUGGAAUAGUGAGGCUNNNN